rnacentral:rRNA from 1 species
AUACGGAGGGGGUUAGCGUUGUUCGGAAUUACUGGGCGUAAAGCGCACGUAGGCGGACUGGAAAGUUGGGGGUGAAAUCCCGGGGCUCAACCCCGGAACUGCCUCCAAAACUUCCAAUCUAGAGAUCGAGAGAGGUGAGUGGAAUUCCAAGUGUAGAGGUGAAAUUCGUAGAUAUUUGGAGGAACACCAGUGGCGAAGGCGGCUCACUGGCUCGAUACUGGCGCUGAGGUGCGAAAGCGUGGGGAGCAAACAGGAUUAGAUACCCUAGUAGUCC